ensembl:lncRNA
CAGAGAGAGAGACAGGCCCGUCAACAGGGAGUUCUGGUGCCAUCGGACAACCUCAACAAGGAGGGGAACGAGUGAGUGUGUGUGAGAGUGUGAGUCUGUGUGUAUAAUAGUGUGUGUGUGUGUGUGUGUGUGUGUGCAUAAGAGUGUGAGCGUUUCUGAAUAACAGUGAGUGUGUAUAAGGCUGUGAGUGUGUAUAAGAGCAUGAGUGUUUUGUGUAUAGCUGUGAGUUUGUGUGAGUGAGUGAGUGUGUGUGUAUCAGUGUGUGUGUGUAUAAGGGUGUAUAAGAGUGUGUUUGUUUUACAGUGUGUGCAUUAGUGUAUGUCUAUUACAGUGUGUAUUACAGUGUGUGUAUGAGUGUAUAAGAGUGUGUGUGUGCAUUACAGUGUGUGUAUUAGAGUGUGUAUAAUAGUGUGUAUUGUGUGUGUGUGUGUGCGUAUAAGAGUGUAUUGGAAUGUGUAUUGUGUCUGUAUUGUGUGUGUAUAAGAGUGUAUUAGAGUGUGUAUUAGAGUGUAUUGUGUGCAAGUGUAUUAGUGUGUAUUAGAGUGUGUGUUAGAGUGUGUAUUGUGUGUGUGUGUAUUAGUGUGUGUUAGAGUGUGUAUUGUGUGUGUGUGGGGCAGUAUUAGUGUGUGUUAGAGUGUGUAUAGUGUGUGUUGUUGUGUGUAUAGAGUGUGUCUAGUGUGUGUUCUGACCGCGGUUCAGUAGUUGAAGAGGGGG